UACGAAGGGGGCUAGCGUUGUUCGGAAUCACUGGGCGUAAAGGGCGCGUGGGCGGCCGAUAAAGUCGGGGGUGAAAGCCUGUGGCUCAACCACAGAAUGGCCUUCGAUACUGGUUGGCUCGAGACCGGAAGAGGUGAGUGGAACUGCGAGUGUAGAGGUGAAAUUCGUAGAUAUUCGCAAGAACACCAGUGGCGAAGGCGGCUCACUGGUCCGGUUCUGACGCUGAGGCGCGAAAGCGUGGGGAGCAAACAGG
rnacentral:rRNA from 1 species